rnacentral:misc_RNA from 1 species
AAGAAUUAGACCCAUGUUGUGUAUAGCUGCUUGUGAGCUUGUUGGUGGGGUUGAGUCCACAGCCAUGCCAGCAGCUUGUGCUGUUGAAAUGAUUCACACCAUGUCUUUGAUUCAUGAUGACCUUCCUUGUAUGGAUAAUGAUGAUCUUAGAAGAGGGAAACCUACAAAUCACAAGAUUUAUGGGGAGGAUGUGGCUGUUUUAGCAGGGGAUGCACUUCUUGCAUUAGCCUUUGAGCACAUUGCUACUCAUACAAAAGGGGUUUCUUCUGAUAGAAUUGUGAGGGUGAUUGGUGAGUUGGCGAAGUGUAUUGGGGCAGAGGGACUUGUAGCUGGUCAGGUUGUAGAUAUAAUUUCAGAAGGCAUUUCUGAUGUUGAUUUGAAGCAUUUAGAGUUCAUUCAUCUGCACAAGACUGCAGCUUUGUUAGAAGGGUCAGUGGUGCUAGGGGCUAUAUUAGGAGGUGCACCAGAUGAAGAUGUGGAAAAGCUAAGAAAAUUUGCAAGAUGUAUUGGUUUGUUAUUUCAAGUUGUGGAUGAUAUUCUUGAUGUCACAAAGUCUUCUCAGCAAUUGGGGAAAACAGCUGGGAAGGACUUGGUUGCUGAUAAGGUAACUUAUCCCAAACUGAUAGGUAUUGAGAAAUCUAGGGAGUUUGCUGAGGAGUUAAACAAAGAAGCGAAAGCUCAGCUUGUUGGAUUUGAUCAAGAGAAAGCAGCUCCAUUGUUUGCUCUUGCAAAUUAUAUUGCUUACAGAGAGAAUUAAAUUGUAACAACAGAAUUCUCAGUGAUUCCUGAUAGUAUUAAACAAUGAAUAUAUGAAUUUUUGGUCAACCAAUUUGUAUAUUUAAAGUUUAAGAAGUAAGUACAAGGCAAGGACAUGAGUGUG